UACGUAGGGGGGCAAGCGUUGUCCGGAUUUAUUGGGCGUAAAGAGCGUGUAGGCGGCCACACAGGUCUGCUGUGAAAACUCGAGGCUCAACCUCGAGCUGUCGGUGGAAACCGUGUGGCUAGAGUCCGGAAGAGGAGAGUGGAAUUCCCGGUGUAGCGGUGAAAUGCGCAGAUAUCGGGAAGAACACCCGUGGCGAAGGCGGCCAUCUGGACGGAUACUGACGCUGAGACGCGAAAGCGUGGGGAGCAAACAGG
rnacentral:rRNA from 1 species